UACGAAGGGUGCAAGCGUUACUCGGAAUUACUGGGCGUAAAGCGUGCGUAGGUGGUUUGUUAAGUCUGCUGUGAAAGCCCUGGGCUCAACCUGGGAAUGGCGGUGGAUACUGACAAGCUAGAGUGCGGUAGAGGAGGGUGGAAUUCCCGGUGUAGCGGUGAAAUGCGUAGAGAUCGGGAGGAACAUCAGUGGCGAAGGCGGCCCUCUGGACCAGCACUGACGCUGAGGCACGAAAGCGUGGGGAGCAAACAGG
rnacentral:rRNA from 1 species